rnacentral:tRNA from 1 species
GGAGGCGUACGUGUUCCUGGUGGGCGCCCCGGUCUUCAAAACCGGUGAGACCGAGCAGCUCGGUCUGGCGGGUUCGAUUCCCGUCCGCCUCCGCCA